GUGGGCGGCGCUCCGAGGGAACCCUUCCGGGGGCGAAGAGCCGGAGUUUGCUCGGGGGCGGAGGCCGCGGGCCGCCCUCGUCUGCCCCUGGGCCGUUUUUAUGCCCCGGUAUGCCCCUUCACGCCGCUCCCUGCCGAGGCUGGAAGCGGCAGCGGUUUACCAACCAGACGCAGCUGUAAAGUUCUGCACGUGUUAUGUGUUGGUUUGCUUAAGGCAACGCACGGCUUGCUGUACACAGAUGCAUGUUCUGCCCCUAAGAGAUGAUGAAGAUGGAAGUUCGUGGCUUGCUCCUUGCUUCUCAGAUAUGGACAGGUGACAACCUACAAGCCACGUGAGCGAUCCUGGUGUCCUGCAGCCACCUCGCCACUCUCUACCAAUAGUCCAAGUGUGGGGGACACAGGAGUGUCUUGGUGAUGGGAUGACAGCCUUGCUGCAUGUCAGGCUCCUGAAGCCGGUGAAGGAGAAACAGCAGUCUGAGGUGAAACAACAUUCAACAAAACCUCAUCAAAUGCUUUCAGAGGUCUCUGAAAAAAUUACUGUUGUGCUUAAAAAUUGAAUAUUAUCUACUAAACUUUAUUUUCGUUUGAAACCUGACUGUCCCAUCCUCCCCGUUUUCAUCUAAGAAUGAAAAUGACACGUUACAUUAAAGGUACUGCUACCUCUCUAUAAGUAAUUACUCUAAAAAUAUAGCAGUUCUUACAUGCACAUCGCUGUGAUUGCAGUAUUUGGCCAGGGAUGAAAACAAUCAUCUGAUUACUUGCAUACUUACAGUGUUAUGCAGAAGUCUGAUGGAUUAAAGGAUUUUCUGAGGCCAAAACUAAUAUCCGUAUUCUCUCGUUCUUUGUUUUUAAAUUAAGUUUUGCUUUUGUUUUUUUUUUAAAGCAUCUGAGGAGUGAAACUGUCCAUGGCUUUAGAAAGAUUUUCCUCAAAUCAUUUGAGUGCGUACUUUUUAAUUGUCAGCCAAUCUCAUCUAGAGAUAAAAUCUGUGAAGAUUUGAUAGGAUUUAAGCGGUCUGCCUGUUUUAGGCAGAUUCUUAUUAUGAUUGAAAGAAACGAGGAAAAGAAUGAUGAUAUUCCCAUUUCUAAAACAGUCUUUGCUCUUACUGUGUUUGUUGUUUAUACCCAUUCCAGCCUUAGUACACUGAAUUAAGGUUAAGCUACCUUAAAGCAGAGAAUGUAAGGACUUUGUCAUCAGUUACGCAAAAGUGUAUAUGAAAGUGAAGUAUUUCCCUUUGAUACAGAACACGGAAGUGGAGCAUCUGAAAAAUAAGAAUUGUAAUUAAAAUUCAUACACAUCUUCCUUUUUUCAAAGCAUCUCCUCUCAGCACUGACAUACUGACAGCCCGAAACACUUAUCUGUAAUGUUCUUUUAGACUCUUUCCAGUAAUGCAUUGAGUACUGUCACCAUUUGGCAAAUUACUCACUGGUGUUUCAGUGUGCCAUUGCUGUUGCUUUUCACUUGGGAUUAUUAAAAAGCUCCUAUAGCUGAUCUACAAGGGCAAAAUCGAGACAUUCUGGAUACAAGGGCUAUUUUUUCAGUCCAGUUGAGGAGGAUGAUUUGUAGCAACUGUGCAUAUGGCACUAAUUAAUGGGAUUUGAGUAGACUUUGGCAUAGCUUCCUGCCUAAAGAAGAAGAAAAGAGGUAACAACAGAUUUGCUGUGUGCCUUUCACUGCUUCUUAUGGAAUGUUAUAUGUACUCCUGAAGUUUUUAUUUUCAAUCAUAGUCACAUAGUCAUUUCUGCAGUAAUUUUAUCAGAUGGAUAGGACGUUCAAGCAACUUUUGAAAAUUCCUUGUGCUCUGCAUUAUGAAGUCUGUUAGUCAUACUUGGCACAGACUACAAAUCUGAGCCUGAUUUUCAGGCUUUCAAAGGGCCAAAAUAAAAUUAUUGUUCUCUAAUACAUUUUUUCUUCACAUUUAUUCGAGUGUGCAUUAGCUGUACAUCCAACAAAAUUGCAUUUUACUCCUUCGUUUUAGGCUUAAGUAGCAGUCGCAGGAGAUUAAAUGCAGUUAAGCAUAACGAAGCGUGAGGAUGACAAGAAAAAUGAAGCAGAGGUGCCUUAUCUCCCAAUUCAUCGCAGUACAAAUUUUAUAUUCCAGACACAAAUGCCACUUUGGGAUUGAAAUCGUACUACGUGAAUCCGUGUGAUUUGCAGUGGCAACAUGCUAAUGGUGUGAAUUAGUCGUUAGUUCAUGACUCUGAGGAAAAGGACCACAUGAAAAUUGUAAGUUAGAAUUCUAUUAGCAGGACUGAGUCUCUUCAUUCUCAGUGCAGAAGUGCAGUACAACAGAAGAACAAAUACAUUCUGCAGGUGGAGAGAAGAGCCGUGGGUUCAUGGUAAGGACAGCAUCCAUCUGCCCCAGGUAAAUCUAAGCCCAUCUUCCCAGCUUGUAGGUGCCUUUGUUUACCUUUUGCUCCAUAACAAACCCAGAAACUCCCUGAUAAAAUUCCCUUCGGAUCAUGACCGUAGAGAAAUCCAUUCUGCAUUCUUAAAGCUUUUGUGGCAGAUAGCUUGUAAGCUGUAAGCAUAAAAAUCACGUACAAAUAAAUAAAUGUUGAGAGAGAAAUUAUGUGACAUAAAGUGUAUGUGAAAAUUAAUGUUGAAAAUGCUCUGAAUACGGGGAAGAAAUGAAAGGAUAGUUCCACGGCAGCAGCUGUAUCUGUUUUACCUUGAGAUUGUUAUCUCUGUAACUGAUUACAUCUCAAAAUCUUAAAACCAUUGACAGUUGUUAAGGGGAAACAAACUUGUGCAUUUGGCCAUGGCAGGUCUUUCCUGCUGUAAGCUUCACAGGAGUUUCUACCUCCACACUGAUCUUUUCUUACAGCACUCUUAGGUGAUGUGUCUUCUCUUGUGCUUGUAAUCAUCUUUCCCUUCUAUUAUAUAUAAUAGGUAAUGUAUAUGUAUAUGCAAUAUAUAAAAUGCUCAAAAAGCUCACGAUUUAAGAGUAAUUAAGAUAUUACUACCUCAGAAACACAAAAUGUCACUCUUAUGUGCUCAUACUUGUUCUGCUGAGCCAGCCCAUCUCAGUGACAGAGGGAAGUGCAGAUAAUACAGACUGGCAUCAAGCAGUAGCUAUUCCUGUAAGCAGACAGAGCAGAAGUUAUCGCUGCAUUUCUUGACACAGAAACACAUGGAUGGCUCUGUACUGUGUGAAAAAAACACUGUAUUGCUGUGUGCUUAUGACAAAAAAAUAAGAAUCCUUUGUCAAUAGGAUACCAUUAUUUUUGGAUAAACAAAACCAAAAUCAAAAAAGAGCAAAUAAGCGGAUAUAUGCGAUGCAUGACACACAGUCCCAUAUGAUCAACAUCAGUUAUUUUGGCAAUCUACUUUCAGAAAUGGGAGUUUUCACAAGAGUGAAAAUUGCUUCUACAUCACUUGGAAGUGGAGCUUACUGCUGUCAGGUUGCCAGAACUCUUAAACGAGUGCUCAAGCAUCACUCCCUCUUUCGGUGAUUUCAUAUAUUUAUACUUACUGUCACAACUAGGGGAGGAUCAGCAAGGAUUUGUUCCUUGUUCAGAAGAUCACGGAGUCUGCUACCUGCCAGCACGCUCCGCUUCCAGCAGCGGAAGCUCUUACUCAUCACCAAUCUUGUCCCUGACAUACUUCAGCAUCCAACAGUUCUUUCACACCUUCCGGGCUCCUAUAUUUAGGAAUUUCUUCUUCUCCCCGGUUGGCUCCAAGCCAGAAACAUAUCCCCUUACGUGGAAGAUUCUUAACUUUGCUCACGCUGCUUUUUUGACAUUUGCUUUCUUGUUUGACAGGAUUCUUGAAUACUGGCUUGCAGCAUCCCAGAUCUGUAGUGCCAGAGAGAGAUGUGGACAGACCUUUGAUCUCGAGGGCCAGAAUUUGGUCACAUUCACAAACACGUUUGGAAGCUUGCAAAUGUGGCCAAGAGAGGGAAUAGGGGAUGUCACUGAUGAGCUGUGCAGAAAUGUCACCUCCUGGAGAACCAUCUAAUAGAUGGACUACAUCCGAGUUCUGCUAAUGCUCUCCAUCAAGCAGACACAUUUAGCACUGCUGCAGUCACAGCUGGAAUACACAGCACAGCAGCAUAUGUUGAAAUCCAGGACGCCCAGUUCAACAGGGAAGAGUGAGUAAUAUAAAUGGCAUUAACUGAAAUUAAUUUCAGGAUGUUCUUCGAUGGAAAGCAUGCUCAUAUCUCAAAAUCAGUCCAUUCAGCAGGCAAAUAAACGGUUUCAACAUUUUUCAGGGAAAUCUCAGUAGCAUUCCUUGGGCUUGUAGGUCAUGCUUAGUACAGUCAAGCAGGCUUAAAUGCAACGUUAAUUACAGUUUUUUUUCCUUUUACAUAUUUUGAAUGGAACAUGACAACAAACGUACACAUUCUUGUGUUUCUGAUGCAUUCUUUUCUUGCAGAAGCCCCAGUUGGUAGUAAAGCAGUUCGCAGCACAGACCUUUCUGUGGAGAAGCUCAUGCAGCCGGCCGGCCAGCAAGCAGUUCUCACACUGCAGCAUCAUGCUUAGCUGUGUCAAGCAACAUAUAAAUCAUGAAGACAAAGUGCUGUUGAGCAACAAGGCAGCUUUUCCCAGCCAGGUCAGUAAGAAGAAACCACAGUUAUCAAAUCAGUGUCUUGGCAUUGAAGCUGCACAGCACCUCAGUGGAGCAGGUUAGUGGGAUCGGGUCCCUUCCUCCAGAGGAAGGUUUGUGCUGCUGUUUGGCCUCACCCACCUUCAGGCAGCUGAGUUUCUGUUGACUCGAAAGGAAAGCAAAAAGUCUGAAAUGCUGCUAAAAGGCCUCGUAUUGUCUGACAUCCUGUGACAAGAAAAAAAUAAACAACUUUGACCAC
ensembl:lncRNA